AAGAGUAACACGUGGGCAAUCUGCCCUGCACUUCGGGAUAAGCCUGGGAAACUGGGUCUAAUACCGGAUAGGACCUCAAGACGCAUGUCUUCUGGUGGAAAGCUUUUGCGGUGUGGGAUGGGCCCGCGGCCUAUCAGCUUGUUGGUGGGGUGACGGCCUACCAAGGCGACGACGGGUAGCCGGCCUGAGAGGGUGUCCGGCCACACUGGGACUGAGAUACGGCCCAGACUCCUACGGGAGGCAGCAGUGGGGAAUAUUGCACAAUGGGCGCAAGCCUGAUGCAGCGACGCCGCGUGGGGGAUGACGGCCUUCGGGUUGUAAACCUCUUUCACCAUCGACGAAGGUCCGGGUUUUCUCGGAUUGACGGUAGGUGGAGAAGAAGCACCGGCCAACUACGUGCCAGCAGCCGCGGUAAUACGUAGGGUGCGAGCGUUGUCCGGAAUUACUGGGCGUAAAGAGCUCGUAGGUGGUUUGUCGCGUUGUUCGUGAAAUCUCACGGCUUAACUGUGAGCGUGCGGGCGAUACGGGCAGACUAGAGUACUGCAGGGGAGACUGGAAUUCCUGGUGUAGCGGUGGAAUGCGCAGAUAUCAGGAGGAACACCGGUGGCGAAGGCGGGUCUCUGGGCAGUAACUGACGCUGAGGAGCGAAAGCGUGGGGAGCGAACAGGAUUAGAUACCCUGGUAGUCCACGCCGUAAACGGUGGGUACUAGGUGUGGGUUUCCUUCCUUGGGAUCCGUGCCGUAGCUAACGCAUUAAGUACCCCGCCUGGGGAGUACGGCCGCAAGGCUAAAACUCAAAGGAAUUGACGGGGGCCCGCACAAGCGGCGGAGCAUGUGGAUUAAUUCGAUGCAACGCGAAGAACCUUACCUGGGUUUGACAUGCACAGGACGCGUCUAGAGAUAGCGUCUGUGUCCUCUCG
rnacentral:rRNA from 1 species